UCAGCUUGAGCGGGGGAGGCACAGGCAAGCAAAGCAAGCAGGGCAACUGAAACAUUUUCAGGAUUCCGAGGCAUUCCCUAUUGAGAAACCAGAUUUUCAGCUUGAUUAUUAAAGUGAGUGUUUUUAUUUGUCCCCAAGAGGGGAGAUCAUAAGGUUGAUGCCGCCGAGAGUGGCAUUUUCUGGAGAUUUUUAGAGCUGUCAUGGCCCGUAUUGGAAUUUCUUCUUCCCGGGGUUUUUGUUGUCUCUUCUCUAUCUUGAAGGCUGGGGGCCCCCCUGCCUCGGAUCUUCCGAAGAGGAAGCCAUGUGAGCUCUUUGGAUCCAUCUGGGGAAAUACAAGCAUACCCCUUUCCCUGUAAGAUUAAUUUCCCAGGUUUCCAUUGUUUAUUUAACCCAUCUUGGUACCAAAUGGGCAGAGGAAGAGAAGAAUCUUUCAAUUCUUCGAAAUGUUUUUCUGCUCUAGUCAAGAUAUCUCCUUGUGAAUUUAUAAGAAGCACCCUGAGAUGUCUCAGAUACCUGAACAGGGAUGGAACAACUGGAACAAAGGAUUGGAAGGCCACGGGGACCCUCUCACCAUCUGUCAGCCCCCCUCCUUUCUGCACAAGGACUUCAUUCACUUUUACCAACUUCCUUCCCAAAGCAGGAAGCAUGGCCACAUCCCAGCCUUCUCUGAGGCUUGUGGAAUCUUAACUCCCAGACCAGGGUUCGAACCUUCAUUGAAACGUUUUG